UUCGAUUGGAUUAGGCAUGCAAGUCGAACGAGAAAGUCCCGCUUGCGGGAUGAGUAAAGUGGCGAACGGGUGAGUAACGCGUGGGAAACCUGCCCUAGAGUGGGGGAUAACAGCUCUAACGGGCUGCUAAUACCGCAUAACGCGACCGAUCUCAUGUUCGGUCGUUAAAGGAGGCCUCUGUUUCAAGCUUCCGCUUAAGGAUGGUCCCGCGUCCUAUUAGCUUGUUGGUAGGGUAACGGCCUACCAAGGCGACGAUGGGUAGCCGGCCUGAGAGGGUGGUCGGCCACACUGGGACUGAGAUACGGCCCAGACUCCUACGGGAGGCAGCAGUCGAGAGGCUUCGGCAAUAAAAAAAACCCUGACCGAGCGACGCCGCGUGGGUGAUGAAGGUCCUUGGACCGUAAAACCCUGUCAGGUGGGAUGAAAUGCCAUUCGGCCAAUACCCGAGUGGUUUGACAGUACCACCAGAGGAAGCUCCGGCUAACUCCGUGCCAGCAGCCGCGGUAACACGGGGGGAGCAAACGUUGUUCGGAUUCAUUGGGCGUAAAGAGCUCGUAGGCGGCUCCGUAAGUCGGAGGUGAAAUCCCACGGCUCAACCGUGGACACGCCUUUGAAACUACGGAGCUUGAGGCCGGGAGAGGAAAGCGGAAUUCCUGGAGUAGCGGUGAAAUGCGUAGAUAUCAGGAGGAACACCAGUGGCGAAGGCGGCUUUCUGGCCCGGUUCUGACGCUGAGGAGCGAAAGCUAGGGGAGCGAACAGGAUUAGAUACCCUGGUAGUCCUAGCCGUAAACGAUGGGCACUAGGUGUGGGGGGAUCGACCCCCUCCGUGCCGCAGUUAACGCAUU
rnacentral:rRNA from 1 species